GGGGUUGUGGCUCAGCGGUAGAGCGCUCACCUCCCAUGUUUGAGGAUCUGGGUUCGAUCCUCAGCACCACUU
rnacentral:tRNA from 1 species